GAGGUUUCAAGUGAAGAGUGUUUUGCUUGGUCGUAGAAUUUAUAUGAUUCUCUUAAGAAAGAGGAUGAAGGAUAAAGAUCAGAUUUUUAAAAUAUAUGGCUGGGCAGAAAUUUCUAAUCAAAGUAUGACGGACUUAGCAAACAUGGUGAAUUCAGAAUUAUCAAUGUUAUUGCACAAAUUACAUGGAGGUCAGUGGCAAAAAAUAUGGUAUUUCUUGUUUCUAAAGUUAUCAUAAACGAGGGUAUCUUAUCUAUACUUGGAUAUCACCACCCACAUUGAAAUGUUUUAACUAGCUUCGUAGAUGAGGCCGAUCAAGCAUCAG